CCUACGGGAGGCUGCAGUGGGGGAUAUUGCACAAUGGGGGGAACCCUGAUGCAGCGACGCCGCGUGGGUGAAGAAGCGCCUCGGCGCGUAAAGCCCUUUCAGCAGGGAAGAAAAUGACGGUACCUGAAAAAGUAGCCCCCGCUAACUACGUUCCAACAGCCGCGGGAAUACGUAGGGGGCAAGCGUUAUCCGGAUUUACUGGGUGUAAAGGGGGCGCAGACGGGGAUGCAAGCCAGGAGUGAAAUCCGGGGGCCCAACCCCGGGACUGCGCUUGGAACUGCGUGGCUGGAGUGCAGGAGGGGCAGGCGGAAUUCCUGGUGUAGCGGUGAAAUGCGUAGAUAUCAGGAGGAACACCGGUGGAGAAGGCGGCCUGCUGGACUGCAACUGACGUUGAGGCCCGAAAGCGUGGGGAGCAAACAGGAUUAGAUACCCGGGUAGUC
rnacentral:rRNA from 1 species